GUGCCAGACUGCCUCCCCUACAUUACAGAGGAGCAGACUAAGUAUGCCACAUAAUACUGUAAGUGGUGUUGCUUUAGAGCUCUGGAUUAUACUUAUUUACCUUGACCUCUUUGGAAUAAAAAUUUGUAGUAAUAUGCUAGUUCUCCAUUUAUCACAGAGCUCCACAACAAUAAAACUUCCAGUAACGUGGAGCUCUGUGAAAGGUCAUACACUACACAACAAUACAACUCUAAGUAAUGUGUCUAUUAGUGUAUCACCGAGCUCCCUAACUAUAAAACACAGAGUAAUGUGCAUUUUAUAUACCAG